rnacentral:rRNA from 1 species
UAACACGAACCGUGCGAACGUUAUUCGGAAUCACUGGGCUUAAAGGGUACGUAGGCGGUCUAGCAAGUGGGGUGUGAAAUCCCCCGGCUCAACCGGGGAACUGCGCCCCAAACUGCUAGACUUGAGGGAGAUAGAGGUGAGCGGAACUGAUGGUGGAGCGGUGAAAUGCGUUGAUAUCAUCAGGAACACCAGAGGCGAAGGCGGCUCACUGGGUCUCUUCUGACGCUGAGGUACGAAAGCUAGGGUAGCGAACGGGAUUAGAUACCCCGGUAGUCCUAGCUGUAAACGAUGAGCACUGGGUCGAGGAGCCUUCCACAGUUUCUCGGCCGUAGCGAAAGUGUUAAGUGCUCCGCCUGGGGAGUAUGGUCGCAAGGCUG